rnacentral:misc_RNA from 1 species
UCUCCGUUGGUGAACCAGCGGAGGGAUCAUUACUGAGUAUUUUACUCAUAACCUUUGUGAACUUAUCUGUUGCUUUUGGUAGGGAGCUAGGCUAAGUUAUAAACCUAGUCUACUAAUUGUUAAGGCAUAUUGCCCUAUGCCCUACCAAAGAAUUUUAUACACUAUAUUUUUUGUGAUGCUCUGAGUUUUCUAAAAGUUUAUAAACUUUCAGCAACGGAUCUCUUGGUUCUA